GGGGAGAUAGCUCAACAUUAGAGCACAGGACUUACAUGUCUGUGACCCCCAGGUCAAUUCUGUAUCUCCA
rnacentral:tRNA from 1 species